AUGGUCGACCCUUUUAUGGUCUUGGCCCUGGUUUGUGUUUUCGGGCCGUUUCUAUGUGGCUUGCUCUGCGCCUGCCCCUGCGCGAGUGCAAUCACGUCGCACCCGUUGCCCGGGCCGGCGCUGCCGCCGGCGGUCGUCGCCGCCACAAGUCCAAGUCCAAGCGACGCAUUGCCAGAGCCAGUUGUCGUGGAGAAGCCGCAGCUGAGGUACUUCCUGUACUCGGCGGCCGCCGCCACGGAGGAGGAUGGCGGAGUGAGGGGAGCGUCGGUGGUGGUGUGCGCGAUCUGCCUGGAGGCGCUGGUCGGCGGGGCGGAGUGCAGCGAGGUGCCGGCGUGCCGGCACGUGUUCCACCGGGGCUGCCUCGCGCUGUGGAUCGGGAGCAGCAACACCUGCCCGCUCUGCAGGAGGCCUGUCGUGCUGGGGUUAGAACCCCUCUCGGUAGCCGAGGAGAUGGUCUAG
rnacentral:rRNA from 1 species